UACGGGGGGAGCAAGCGUUGUUCGGAUUUACUGGGCGUAAAGGCGCGUAGGCGGCCACCGCAAGUCAAUUGUGAAAUCUCCGGGCUUAACUCGGAAAGGUCAACUGAUACUGCGGGGCUAGAGUGCGGAAGGGGCAACUGGAAUUCUCGGUGUAGCGGUGAAAUGCGUAGAUAUCGAGAGGAACACCUGCGGCGAAGGCGGGUUGCUGGGCCGACACGUGACGCUGGAUGCGCGAAAGCCAGGGGAGCGAACGGG
rnacentral:rRNA from 1 species